rnacentral:lncRNA from 1 species
CACCUGUCAUUUUUCAAAAGUUAUCAGAUUUAGCUUCAGGAGCUGACUUUUCUUUUGUAUCACUGCUGUUAGUGCGCCGUGGUUACUUAAGUUAGUGUAGGUCGAGAUUACACUCGUGCGGAGGGGCCGAAUUUGUUUUUACAGCAGAGUUAGACUGUUUUGUACAGUCGGGUGCCGUCGGGUUCGACGGUGGAUCUAGAUUAUUACAUCUUGUGUCAGAUUAUGCCGAUGGCACAUGAGCCUUAGUU